rnacentral:lncRNA from 1 species
GCCAAGUCAGCUCCAGAAGUUGGCGAGUCGACUCCAGGUUAAGACGAGUCGACUCCCAGUCGAGGCAAGCACAUUAAUUCAAAUUUGGAACAGUGGCCGAGUCGUCUCCGGUAAAACACGAGCCGACUCCUGCAACAGGCGAGUCGACUCCUGAUCGCGCGAGUCGACUCCGAUCCCAACGGUCAUAUUGUCAGGAGGUGCAGACUGGUUCCAACGGCUCUAUUUUUGUCUCUAACGGCUAUAUUCUUGUUUCCACGCCAUCUAAAGCUAUAAAAAGCAAGAAGAGAGCUUGGGGAGAACUUAUGGAAGU